UUCCUAUUUUACUCGAAAUGUCAACGAAUUUAUUUGUUGUCAAACCCUGCUUCAAAGUCAAUGCAUGCAUUCAGAGGACGCAAUGUUGACACUUGGCGCGAGGCGAUAGCCGCGAGGCGAAGCAUUGAUCAACUUAACGAGCCGCGCAACGACAGCCGCAGCCGAGGCAACAACAGCAGCAGCUAAUUGAGUAUUCUACUUUUAAGUGGCGCCUCUGCCAACCCGAGCCGACCGAGCUGUUAACACACUUCAGCUGCGUUUGCUUGUGGCAGUUGCAGCUUGUGCGGACAGUCCGGACUGUGCGGCCUGUGGUCAGCGCGCAUAAAUCAAUAAGUUGCCAUAAAUUAAUUAAAAUAAAAAGCAGCGCAUCUCAAGGUGCUGCCAGGACAAGUCCUGUGUGUAUUACAAGUGCGUCUCCAUUUUGGCUUUAAGCAGCGCUCAGCCGAAGCAAUCAAUCAAAAUUGCAGCUGCCUUAGGGCGCCCGCUGGGUCGCUCGGUGAAUCUGAAACUGAAUCACGUAACGCCGUUCCAUGGCGCAUGAUAAAUUGUCAACACGCUGACGUUUGUCUGCAGCGAUUUAAAAACUACUUAAAAUGUAAAUGUUGUUUCGCAGUUGUUGUACCCUGCACCCAUUGAUAAUGGGUAAAAUAAAACGGGUAUAUUGUUUUGGUGCAAA